UGCGCUACUGCUACAAAUUCUGUACAAUAUAUGUUAUCAAUUAGCAUGCAAACUAGAUUCUAUUCAUUGUAAAAUUUAUAGUAUAUAGUUCGUUAUCAUAAAACACACUAGGUUUUGACCUUUAAUAAACAUGCAUCUAAUUUUGUUCCUAAAUGUCUUUAACUUGGCGUAUUUCCUAGCUUCUAAUGAUCUAUUUGGCUACAUCUACUAGUUGCUAUAUCAUAAAACUUCCUUCCCUGUAGAUUUGAGUAUAACCACUUAUAGCGGGCGAAAAAUUUCAAUAAAAAUGCAACACGAAACAAAGUUUGAAAAGAACCACUUUAGUCCAUGAUAUGGAUUAAAACAUGAUCUUACACAAGACAUCAGACUGUCUAACGGACUUUGUCUCGCUUUAUAAAAUGAGCAAGAUGUGUGAAAGGCGUCGAGAUGCCAGAGAUUUGAGAUUAAUAGAGCAUAAAUCAGACAAGGCGUUACCUUUGAAAGCUAAAAGUAUGAAUUAAACAGUGUUCGAUACAGAAAUUUCAUCCUUAAUGAAAAUAUGAAAAUAAGUGUCAGUUACUCAAACGGCUAUCAGUGUUUUGUUCUUAGAAAACAUAGAAAAGCUUGAGGACAUUUUGUUAAGUACAAGCUGGAGCAACUCUGGUCAAUAUCGAUACCUUUCAGACUUUGUGGUUAUACUCACUCUCAGAGCAAAAGCUACAAUAAGAUUGUCAACUUUUAAAGACUAAACUCUAGAAUGUUCAAGUAUAUUUUAAAGUUUCUGCUUAUUAGCCUACCAACAUUCUGACCAACAUUCUUUCACAACCUAUAGUUCGUGGACUAUCACAAUUCUUCUUGUAGUUUCUUGUAGAUUUUUCUGGGGGUUUUUUAUACCAGUUUGUUGUUAUUCAACAUCGUAACUGUACCAUAUUCGUAUGCACAUGUUCAUAGUUAUCAUAUAUGAAUGACUCUUCGUAUAUAAACCAAUUAUUUCGAAUAUUUCGAGAAGCUUUCUUUACCAUAAGAGAUUGAAUUCCAAAUUUGUACACAGGGUCGUUAUUACCACAACGUUCUUUCGUCAAUUUUGAGGCUGCAGGAAAGACAAUGCGUCAGACGCGAACAGUAGUAGGUUCAUUUUCAGUAUUUCCCAACAGCAUCAAAUUAUUCAGUUACUAUGAAGUAUGUUCCUCACAUAAUAUCAUGCGUUGCAAAUCAGAUAUUAUACACUGGUCUAGGACCCGGAUGUUUGUUUCCAUACACAAGGUAGGUAUUUUGAACGACGUCCAAAUGAGGUAUUGAUCCAUCAUACUUGUGGAAGGAAUUGAACCAUCAUAUUCGUGGUAGGUUGAUGACAUCGUACGAUUGCAUUUUAUAUUAUAACAUUACUGAAGGAGCACGAGUUAGGACAUGUUCCUUUGGAAAUUCUCAAUUGAAGGUGCACAAUUCUUGAAGGUGUGCAGAGUUUGUAUAAUCGUAACAUCAAUAUCCCGCUACCUCGUAGAUUCGUUGUUGUGCUUCAAUGUUAUAUUCAAGAAAUUUAGAAUAAUUUACUGAGCUGAAUUACAAGCUGGAAUAGUGUUCUGCAUAGCAAGUUCAAAUCCAUCCUGUUUCCAUCUGGAAAUUGUGGCAUUCAUAUACCGUUAAAUGUUGUAAAUAAGACGUAUUUCCUGGCAAUAUACUUGUACCAAUUGAGUGGUAAUCUUUCGCACGUAGAUCAGCAACUCAAUCAUUUUCAUCCAUUUGUUUUUCUAAGAAUACAUGCAUACGAAUAAAAUAUACGCGUUGUUUUUCCAUCAGCCCAAUUCAGCCCAAGUUGACGUUUUGUUUCCGCAAUGUCGCUCGUUUCAAGCUGGUUUCUAUCAUCGAUGUUCAACCAGGUUGCAGAAUGUUGGUCACAGUUCAAUGUUGUUUUUCAUAAUUACAGAUAUAAAUACUGGACUGUGUCACACAUAAAUAUACUUACUCUGUUACAAGUUCAAGUGCAUCUGGUUUCCAACUCUCAAUAAACGUCUGUGCAAACUUGUGCGAAAACUUAACGACAGAGGAAAAAUAAGCAUGUUUUGCAUAUAAUUUUGUAUUAUUCUUAAAAACAAAUCGUGUCUAUUUCGUUGGAAACUUUCCUAUAUUAUUAGCAGUAUAUAGAGCGUUUUAAAAUAUCGUCUCCUGCAAGAAUAUCUCGCGGAGAU
rnacentral:lncRNA from 1 species